rnacentral:lncRNA from 1 species
GAAAGGCUCCAUUAGGUGACAGUUAGAGGAUUGCUUUUUCAAGUGGAAAACGAGUUGAGGCAAGUAACUUUCCCCUCUAUCUCUUAAGCAACUUAUUGAUAAAUGAUGAUAAGUACUGUCACCCCUGAACUACCUUUUGAAUUAUGAAAGCCUGAUUUCCUUUAUCAUUCAAUAUAUUGUCUCUUCUGUAUCCGGUAUAUUCUUAUCUUGAAAUACCUAUCUUUUGAUCGAAUGAUAUUUUCUUUCCAUAACUUGACCACCCCAAGUAAAUGGAAUUUGAUUCUGUAAAUGAAACUAAGAAUGAUUUUAGACUUGCAAGUGAUUGCAAGUGUUCUAAUGAUUUGAAAGGUUGGCAAGGUUUUUGAAAAAAAAAGAUAUUUCCUUUAAAGAAGAAAGUUUUUCCAAUUUAAUGGUUUUCCACGGAAUUCUAUAGAUUGGAGGCGUAAGUGGUCGAGUAACGCCGGUCCAGCUAAUUGAUUAUGAAGACCAGUGAGGGCUGGCAUUUGAAAGACUAAAUAUAAUGUCUUUCCGGGUACCCUAUUCACGUCCAGAGGGACUGUAAAGUCCGGUAUGGGGAUUGUACGUGGCUGAUCACCUGUGCAAUCCAGAGCGUUAUACACUCCAAUCGAGUAAAAUGUUUUAUGAAAAGAAUUGUCCAGGUGUUGGACUGUUUUGAAAAUGAGAUAUUUUUGUGAUGGAAAAUAAAGUUUUGAUGAAAGGAUUGAUUUGAAGGAAAAUGUUAUGAAAAGGGUAAUUUUACGAAAGUUUUGAAAAGAGGAAUGUUUUAUGAAUUAUUCAUUUACAAAAAUGGUUUUUAUGUAAUGAUCCUGAACUUUGAAUCUCUAUUAUGACCUUUGUAACUUUAGUCUAUAAUCGAAAACUCUCCAUCUUAUUUUGUUGAAUAGUUUAAUUUAUUUGUUCAUUAUAGUUGGUUUUUAUGUAAUGAUCCUGAACUUUGAAUCUCUAUUAUGACCUUUGUAACUUUAGUCUAUAAUCGAAAACUCUCCAUCUUAUUAUGUUGAAUAGUUUAAUUUAUUUGUUCCUUAUAGUUACUUGCUGAGCUCUGCUCUCUUAUGCUAUGACUGAAGCUCCUACCAUCUACCAUGAAAUAGUUGUUGUUUAUCUAACCCUGACAGCUAAGCAAGAGGAAGAUGGCGAGUCCUAGGUGCUCAGUUCGUUAAACUGUUUACAUCCCCCUCUCUGUUUCGUUAGAUUACUUUACCAGUUCAGGUAGAGGACGCUUUGGAUAGUCAGUGGGGAGUAAGUAUGUUAGUCAAGAUACUGUUUUAUCUUUGCCUAGUGAUGUUCAGUUGGUUAAUUUGUCGUAAACAGUACCUUUGAGAUGUUUUAUAUAAUUCCAAGUCGGAAUUAUGGUUGAUGCUAUUUAUUAAGGGUUUGUAAUAAGUUUAUAACUUAUUAUUUUGGUUAGUAGUUGUAACUUGUUUCAUACCAUCACCUGUUAAAGAUCCUUGUGGUGUAAAGGGGUUGAGUAUUUAUAUUGCUAAAUCCAGGUUGUGCAUGUUAAAGUUGAUUUGUGACUCCUCAAUCUAGACCCCGGAUUGGGAGGGCGGCACAGUUGGUAUCAGAGCCACAGGUUUUGGUCCCUGAAACAAGUUAUAAUAGGCAGAUCUUAGGAACACUACAUAAGUUAAGUGUGUGUUCCCAACCCAUAUAGGGUUCAGUUGAGAUUAUUCGAUAUAGUCUUAACGAGUUAAGUUUAUAAGAGUAGAAUAGCGUGUCUGAGUUAAAAUCAAAGACGUUCAGAUGAGUGCCAUUUGACUUGUGAUGCCAAGGCCUGGCUUAUGAGGUGUAUAAGUUGUCAAGGUGGAUGUUGAUCAAUUUAUCUCUAUACCAGUAGGAUUGGAGUUACUUGAAUUGGUGCCGAGUCACCAAGAUGACCUAUAUUAUCCUAGAUCUGUUUUGGUGGUUGCAGUAGUUGGUUUGCAGCGGGUGACACUUAUGGAAUACUUCUCAGUUUUUCACCUUAUUUGAUCAUGUAGCCACAUUAUUGUGUUCUCUUUCAUUUCAACUUGUUUUUGUAACCCUGAUUAUCGUUAUAACUACCUAUGCAUUUCUUUUCAUAACAUUGUUGCACCAUACUGUUCCUUCCACAUCAGUUUCAGAUAAUACCUAUGCUUAAUACUUAGUUUCAGAAUAAUACCCUGAACUCUUACCUUAUGAUUUCUAUGAUAUGGCAAGCAACUUAUGUGGUAAUAGAGCUGCAUGUGCUAAAAGUUUAAAAUGUUGGAAUUAUAUAUAUAAGGUGGAUAAGAAGAGAUUGUUUUAUGAUAUAUUGCCAUGUUAGCAUGUUGCCUAAUAGUAGGUUGCUUGUCUAUUCAUCAGAAAAAUGUCAACCACACCAACAAACCCAGAUGAGGGUAAUCAGAAUCAAGGUCGGGAUCAAGAAGACCCUACCAUGACUCAAAUUCUCCGUCUUCUUCAGCUGCAAACCGCUGCUUUGAACCAGCAGCCCCAAGCUCCUCGAGUCGGAAGCUUUAAAGCUUUCCAAUCCCUCCACCCACCUGAAU